rnacentral:rRNA from 1 species
GAUGAACGCUGGCGGCGUGCUUAACACAUGCAAGUCGAACGAAGCACUUUAUUUGAUUUCCUUCGGGACUGAUUAUUUUGUGACUGAGUGGCGGACGGGUGAGUAACGCGUGGGUAACCUGCCUUGUACAGGGGGAUAACAGUUGGAAACGGCUGCUAAUACCGCAUAAGCGCACAGCAUCGCAUGAUGCAGUGUGAAAAACUCCGGUGGUAUAAGAUGGACCCGCGUUGGAUUAGCUAGUUGGUGAGGUAACGGCCCACCAAGGCGACGAUCCAUAGCCGACCUGAGAGGGUGACCGGCGACAUUGGGACUGAGACACGGCCCAAACUCCUACGGGAGGCAGCAGUGGGGAAUAUUGCACAAUGGGCGAAAGCCUGAUGCAGCGACGCCGCGUGAGCGAAGAAGUAUUUCGGUAUGUAAAGCUCUAUCAGCAGGGAAGAUAAUGACGGUACCUGACUAAGAAGCACCGGCUAAAUACGUG